rnacentral:miRNA from 1 species
UAAUGCCCCUAAAAAUCC